AUGUCUGCCUGAUACCACAAAAAGUAUCAGGAGGAAAGUCCGAACACCAGAGGAUAGAACACUUCCUAAUGGGAAGUCCUGGCGACAGGGAGACGCUCCACAGAAAUAUACCGCCAAAAUUUGGUAAGGGUGAAAUGGUAGUGUAAGAGACUACA
rnacentral:ribozyme from 1 species